rnacentral:lncRNA from 1 species
GUCUUAACUGAGGUGGCACAAGUCUCUCGCAUUAUUGUGAUAUCAGCACAUGGCAAGGUGGUCCGCAGUUUGCUAAUUGAAGCUCACAAGAAAGGCCUCACCAACGG